GAUGAACGCUGGCGGCGUGCCUAAUACAUGCAAGUCGAGCGAACAGACGAGGAGCUUGCUCCUCUGACGUUAGCGGCGGACGGGUGAGUAACACGUGGAUAACCUACCUAUAAGACUGGGAUAACUUCGGGAAACCGGCGCUAAUACCGGAUAAUAUCUUGAACCGCAUGGUUCAAUAGUGAAAGACGGUUUUGCUGUCACUUAUAGCUGGAUCCGCGCCGCAUUAGCUAGUUGGUAAGGUAACGGCUUACCAAGGCGACGAUGCGUAGCCGACCUGAGAGGGUGAUCGCCCACACGGGAACUGAGACGCGGUCCAGACGCCUACGGGAGGCACCAGUAGGGAAUCUUCCGCAAUGGGCGAAAGCCUGACGGAGCAACGCCGCGUGAGUGAUGAAGGUCUUCGGAUCGUAAAACUCUGUUAUUAGGGAAGAACAAAUGUGUAAGUAACUAUGCACGUCUUGACGGUACCUAAUCAGAAAGCCACGGCUAACUACGUG
rnacentral:rRNA from 1 species